rnacentral:rRNA from 1 species
AGAGUUUGAUCCUGGCUCAGGAUUAACACUGACGGUAUGCCUAAUACAUGCAAGUCGAGCGCAAAGUUUACUUUGAGCGGCGAACGGGUGAGUAACAUGUACCUAACUUACCUUUAAGUUUGGAAUAACAGUCUGAAAAGAUUGCUAAUGCCGAAUAAUAUUGAUAAUUAUAAGAUUGUUAAUUAAAGGAGCUUCACAGCUUCGCUUUUAGAUAGGGGUGCACAGUAUUAGCUAGUUGGUAAGAUAACAGCUUACCAAGGCAACAAUGCUUAGCCGGCCUGAGAGGGUGAACGGCCACAAUGGGAUUGAGAUACGGCCCAUACUCCUACGGGAGGCAGCAGUAGGGAAUCUUUCACAAUGGACGAAAGUCUGAUGAAGCAAUACCGUGUGCGGGAUGACGGCCUUAGGGUUGUAAACCGCUGUGGAAAGGGAGGAAUGAUUUGGAGAGGAAAUGCUCUGAAUUUGACAGUACCUUUUUAGAAAGUCACUGCAAACUACGUGCCAGCAGCCGCGGUGAUACGUAGGUGGCAAGUGUUAUCCGGAUUUAUUGGGCGUAAAGCGUGUGCAGGUGGUUUUAUAAGUUUAAGAUUAAAUCUUGUGGCUUAACCAUAUAGUUGUCUUAAAAACUGUAAAACUAGAAUAUAGAAGAGGGUGAUGGAAUUCCAUGUGUAGCGGUUAAAUGCGUAGAUCUGUGGAGGAACACCAGUGGCGAAGGCGAUCACCUGGUCUAUUAUUGACACUAAGACACGAAAGCGUGGGGAGCAAAUAGGAUUAGAUACCCUAGUAGUCCACGCUGUAAACGAUGCAUACUAAUUGUUGGAAAAACCAGUAAUGCAGCUAACGCAUUAAGUAUGCCGCCUGAGUAGUACGAUCGCAAGAUUGAAACUUAAAGGAAUUGACGGGGACUCGCACAAGCGGUGGAGCAUGUGGUUUAAUUUGACACAACGCAAAGAACCUUACCUAGAUUUGUAUCCCAAGCAAUGCUAUAGAAAUAUAGUGGAGGCUAUCUUGGUGACCGGUGGUGCAUGGUUGUCGUCAGCUCGUGUCGUGAGAUGUAUGGUUAAGUCCAGUAACGAGCGCAACCCUUGUCUUUAGUUGCCAGCACAUAAUGGUGGGGACUCUAAAGAUACUGCAAGCGCAAGCUUGAGGAAGGUGGGGAUGACGUCAAAUCAUCAUGCCCCUUAUGUCUAGGGCUACACACGUGCUACAAUGGCUAAUACAAAGUGACGCAAAUUCGCAAGGAUAAGCAAAUCACAAAAAGUUAGUCUCAGUUCGGAUUAUAGGCUGCAAUUCGCCUAUAUGAAGUUGAAAUCGCUAGUAAUCGCCGAUCAGCAAUGCGGUGGUGAAUACGUUCUCGGGUCUUGUACACACCGCCCGUCAAACCACGGAAGUUGGUAAUACCCAAAGUCAUUUGUCUAACCAUUUAUGGAGGACGGUGCCUAAGGUAGGACUAGUAACUGGGGUUAAGUCGAAACAAGGUAUCCCUACGGGAAUGUGGGGAUGGAUCACCU